UACGUAGGUGGCAAGCGUUGUCCGGAUUUACUGGGCGUAAAGAGCGCGCAGGCGGUCGUGCAAGUCGCGUGUGAAAGCCCCCGGCUCAACUGGGGAGGGUCACGCGAUACUGUUCAACUCGAAGGCAGGAGAGGGAAGCGGAAUUCCCGGUGUAGUGGUGAAAUGCGUAGAUAUCGGGAGGAACACCAGUGGCGAAGGCGGCUUCCUGGCCUGUUCUUGACGCUGAGGCGCGAAAGCUAGGGUAGCAAACGGG
rnacentral:rRNA from 1 species